rnacentral:lncRNA from 1 species
GGUAGAAAGGAGGGGUGCACAUGGGGAUGCGCAUCUCCUUUCUUUUGCAUCGCAUCUUGGAUAAAAAAUAGGAGAGGGGGCGCUAGUCCAAACUUGUUGCCCACUCCCUGAUAUUCUCUAUCUCCUCAUUAGAUGGGGUUGGAUUGGUUCAAGUUUGAAAUUGAGCUCUUAUUAGAUAAGAGUUCAAAUUCAAUAGAAUUCUAUCCUUUCUCCC